UCCGAUUCCUACGGGAGGCAGCAGUGGGGAAUCUUGCACAAUGGGCGAAAGCCUGAUGCAGCGACGCCGCGUGGGGGAUGAAGCAUUUCGGUGUGUAAACCCCUUUCGACCCGGACGAAUGCCUCGCAAGAGGAGUGACGGUACGGGUAUAAGAAGCCCCGGCUAACUACGUGCCAGCAGCCGCGGUAAGACGUAGGGGGCCAGCGUUGUUCGGAAUUACUGGGUGUAAAGGGUUCGUAGGCGGUGUGGCAAGUUGGGAGUGAAAUCUCUGGGCUCAACCCAGAGGCUGCUUCCAAAACUGCUGUGCUUGAGUGUGGGAGAGGCGCGUGGAAUUGCAGGUGUAGCGGUGAAAUGCGUAGAUACCUGCAGGAACACCCGUGGCGAAAGCGGCGCGCUGGACCACAACUGACGCUGAGGAACGAAAGCUAGGGGAGCAAACAGGAUUAGAUACCCUGGUAGUCCUAGCCCUAAACGAUCAGGACUUGGGGUGCCGCACGUUCGUGCGUCGUCCCGGAGCUAACGCGUUAAGUCCUGCACCUGGGGAGUACGGUCGCAAGACUGAAACUCAAAGGAAUUGACGGGGGCCCGCACAAGCGGUGGAACAUGUGGUUCAAUUCGACGCUACGCGAGGAACCUUACCUGGGCUCGAAGCGCACCUGACCAGCUGUAGAAAUACGGCCUUCCCGCAAGGGACAGGUGUGGAGGCGCUGCACGGCUGUCGUCAGCUCGUGCCGUGAGGUGUUGGGUUAAGUCCCGCAACGAGCGCAACCCCUGCACGUAGUUGCCACUCCGCAAGGAGGGAACUCUACGUGGACUGCUCCGGAUAACGGAGAGGAAGGUGGGGAUGACGUCAAGUCCGCAUGGCCUUUAUGUCCAGGGCUACACACGUGUUACAAUGCAGGGUACAAACCGUUGCCAACCCGCGAGGGGGAGCUAAUCGGAAAAAACUCUGCUCAGUUCGGAUUGCAGUCUGCAACUCGACUGCAUGAAGCCGGAAUCGCUAGUAAUGGCGUAUCAGAUCGACGCCGUGAA
rnacentral:rRNA from 1 species